CAGAUAUCAGGAGGAACACCAAUGGCGAAGGCAGGACUCUGGGCCAUUACUGACACUGAGGAGCGAAAGCGUGGGGAGCGAACAGGAUUAGAUACCCUGGUAGUCCACGCCGUAAACGGUGGGCACUAGUUGUGGGGACCUUCCACGGUCUCUGCGACGCAGCUAACGCAUUAAGUGCCCCGCCUGGGGAGUACGAUCGCAAGAUUAAAACUCAAAGGAAUUGACGGGGCCCCGCACAAGCAGCGGAGCAUGCGGCUUAAUUCGACGCAACGCGAAGAACCUUACCAAGGCUUGACAUAUACAGGAAUAUGGCAGAGAUGUCAUAGCCGCAAGGUCUGUAUACAGGUGGUGCAUGGUUGUCGUCAGCUCGUGUCGUGAGAUGUUGGGUUAAGUCCCGCAACGAGCGCAACCCUCGUUCUGUGUUGCCAGCAUUUAGUUGGGGACUCACAGGAGACUGCCGGGGUUAACUCGGAGGAAGGUGGGGAUGACGUCAAAUCAUCAUGCCCCUUAUGUCUUGGGCUGCACGCAUGCUACAAUGGCUGGUACAAACGGCUGCAAUACCGCAAGGUGGAGCGAAUCCGAGAAAGCCAGUCUCAGUUCGGAUUGGGGUCUGCAACUCGACCCCAUGAAGUCGGAGUUGCUAGUAAUCGUAGAUCAGCAACGCUACGGUGAAUACGUUCCCGGGGCUUGUACACACCGCCCGUCACGUCACGAAAGUCGGUAACACCCGAA
rnacentral:rRNA from 1 species